CUCCAGCCCCGCCCAUAGCCUCCGCUCUUCCUCCCAUGACGCCCCGCCCACGGUGCCCCAAGGCUCCCCGCCAGCCCCGCCCACAGCCGCCUCCUGCUCCUCCGGUAACGUCGCUCCCACAGAGGCCGACCGCCUGCUAGCAGCGCUUACAGCGGCCAUGGCUUCUCCCAGGAUCUUUGACUCUCCGCGGCGGCGCGGCCUGCGAGCAAGGGAGGCUGGUGGCGACGCGCGCAGGCGCCGUGUGGCGGUUAGCACAAGCAGGGAGAGCAGAGGCGGGGUGAGAAGCAGACUCCCCACUGAGCAGGGAGCCCGAUGUGGGACUUGAUCCCAGGAUCCUGGAUCAUGACCUGAGCGGAAGGCAAGCACUUAACCAUCUGACCCAAACAGGUGUCUGGAUGAACAAUGUGACCAUAUCCCUGCAAUGGGACACUAUUCAGUAAUUACAUGUGUGAGCUACCAAGCCGCAAAAAAGACACGGAGGAAAGGUAAAUGCCUAUUACUCAAUGAAAGAAGCCUAUCAGAAAAGGUUACGUGAGGGCGCCUGGGUGGCUCAGUGGGUUAAGCCGCUGCCUUCGGCUCAGGUCAUGAUCUCAGGGUCCUGGGAUCGAGUCCCGCAUCGGGCUCUCUGCUCAGCAGGGAGCCUGCUUCCCUCUCUCUCUCUCUCUCUCUGCCUGCCUCUCCGUCUACUUGUGAUCUCUCUCUGUCAAAUAAAUAAAAUCCUUAAAUAAAUAAAUAAAUAAAAGAGGGGCCCCUGGGUGGCUCAGUGGGUUAAAGCCUCUGCCUUUAGCUCAGGUCAUGAUCCCAGAGUCCUGGGAUUGAGCCCCACAUCGGGCUCUCUGCUCAGCUGGGAGCCUGCUUCCCCCUCUCUCUCUGCCUGCCUCUCUGCCUACUUGGAAUCUCUCUCUCUGUGUCAAAUAAGUAAAUAAAAUCUUUAAAAAAAAAAAAAAGAAAAGGUUACGUGACAUUCCAGAAAAGGCAAAGCUAUGGGGACAGCUAAAAAAAAAAAAAAGACAAUCAGUAAUUGUAAUUAUUAGGGGCUGGGGGAAUAGGAGGGGUGUGGGCAGGUUUUUAAGGUCACAGAACAAUUCUGUGUGACACUACAAUGGCAGAUAGAUGUCAUUACACGUUUGUCAAAUCCAGAAUGUACAACACCAAGAGUGAACCCUAGAGAAAACCGUGGACUUUGGCAAACAAUAUUGUCAGUGUAGCUUCACUGGUCGUAACAAUGUAGCACAUGGCCCAGGUGGGAUGUCCAUAGUGAGUGCGGCUGUGCACGUCUGGGUGUGAAGGGUGUAUGGGUUACUCCAUACUUUCUGCUUAAUUUUACUGUGAAUUUGAAAUUUCUCUAAAAAAACAGAAUCUACUCAAAAACACACACAAACCAUGAAGAAAGAAAAAAGACAAAAUCACAGAAUGGGAAAGAAUGUUUCCAGCACCCAAAACCUAUACAGGUCUAGGGUCUUAUUUCUCGAAGUCGGUGAGUAAAGUACCAAUAACUCCGUGGUACGGCAGACAAAUACUUGAGGUUUCUCUUCUCCAGAGAAAUCCAAACAGCCAAGAAACACACGCAGAGGGGCUCGGCUUCAGGACCGAUCACAGAAAUGCAAGCCAAGCCACACCAAAAAUCCCAAAGUUUGGGGAGCCUGUUCUGACUCUUGCUCUCAGAUCAGGCAAUGAUCUCAGGGUUGUGGGACAGAGCCCCACAUCGCGCUCUGUGCUCAGUAGGGGGUCUCCUUGAGGUUCUCUUUCCCUCUCCCCCCACCCCAACUCUCCCUCUCUCUCUCAAAAUAAAUAAAUAAAAUCCUGAGAAAAAUUCUGAAGUCCGAAAAUUCCAACUAUUAGCGAGAAUGUGGACCAAGCAAAUUCAUGUACGGCUCGUUAGACUCUCGACUGACAAAACCCACCUUUGGUAAAUAGUUUGGAAUCAUCAAGAAAGUGAAAAAUCAACCUACAAAAUGGAAGGAAAUGUUGAGAAAUCAUAUAUUUCAGAAAAGUCUUUUUAAAAAGAUUUUAUUUAUUUUUGUCAGAGAGAGAGCUCAAGCAAGGGGACCAGCAGGCCAAGGGAGAGUCAGGCUCCCAGCUGAACAAGGAGCCCGAUGUGGGACUCCAUCCCAGAACUCUGGGAUCGUGACCUGAGCCAAAAGCAGACACUUAACCAACUGAGCCACCCAGGCGUCCCAAGGGUCUUUUUUUUUUUUUUUUUUUUUUAAGAUUUUAUUUAUUUGACAGAGAGAGAGUAGGCAGAGAGAGAGAGGAGGAACAGGCUCCCCGCCAAGCAGAGAGCCCAAUGCGGGGCUCAAUCCCAGGACCCUGGGAUCAUGACCCGAGCCGAAGGCAGAGGCUUAACCACUGAGCCACAAAGGCGCCCCAGGCUACUCCAUUCUAAACUUCAGAUUUUCCAACUCUGGCUGUGGGGGGAAGACCCUGAAAGCAAAGCAUCCCUUGGUGGGAUCCACAACUGCUCCCUGUCCAUUAGGACCACCGUGAGCCAGCAAGACCCUGACUACCCGGUGACUGACCCCAAGACAAUGACCAAUUUGACUUUCACUGUGCACCAUUACCCCAGGUUUUGUGUAUAUACACCUGGAAGCAUUUGCACACUUUGGAAUCAGUCUUUGGGACCCUAGUCUCCUGUAUUUGUGGCGUUGGCAUCACUGAAACAAUCCAUUUUCUGCUUCAGCACCACUCAUUCCUGCGCCUGGUCUGCUUGGGACUCCCCCGGUCAGGUGCCCUUGCAACCCCGCACCCUGGCUACAACCCCUAGGGCUUCAGCUCCCUCCUCGCCCUCGCUCCCUCUCUGUCUCCCUUCCUGUCCCAGAGUCCUCACCAGAGGAGGAGCCUGCUGCCAGGUUGUGGGCAGUCCCAUGUUCACGGCCAAGGAGCUGAUGUCUUCGGCCGGCUGCCAUGAGGACCCAAGGACUGCCAACCGUGACCUGCCAAGGCUCCAUCUGGCAGACCGUUCUCAACUGGCCAUAGGGCUUCCCGGUUUACCGCCGCACUGUGUCGGUGUUUGAAUCACGGUAUGAAUGUCUGUGAUUUGAAUGCGCCAUUGCCUAAUGACCAACAUCUGGACAUAUGCUGUACCGUCCUGCAAUCUCACUUCUAUGAGCAUCUCUACAGGGCGAGUGCAGAGGGGGACAGAGCAAAGCCCUUGUCGCUCUGGGAGCUGAGUCCAGAGGCUUCCAGAUGCUCUAACACUACUCAGCAAAUACAGGAAUGUCUGUGGGCCCACAGUCUAACCCUUCCAGCGUGAUCAAACUUUUUGACCUUUGCAGAUCUGUUAGGUAUAAGGAAAAAAGACGUCAAGGCGCUUUUUAGUUUGGGGAGGUUGGAGACUGUUCCUGUUCAUUUGCAUAUCCUUUAAGGGAGUCUCCUUGAAUUUACUGAAGAGUGGGUAUUUUGUUAUUGAUUUGUAGGGGCUCUUCAUUAUUAAACUUAUAAUUUUUUUUUAAGAUUUUACUUAUUUGUCAGAGAGACUCAGAAAGCACACAUGCAAGCACAAGCAGGGGGAGUGGCAGGCAGGAGAAAUGGGGAGGGGGGGAGGUUCUUGCUCAGCAGGGAGCAAGAUUCCAGGAUCCUAGGAUCAAGACCUGAGCGGAAGGCAGAUGCUUAACUCACUGAGCCACCCAGGUGUCCUGUUAUCAGUCCUAAACUGCUAUCAAUCUUGGUAAUUAAACAAAUAAAUAAAACAUUUACAAAUCUUUAAACAAAUAAAAUCUUUAAAA